rnacentral:rRNA from 1 species
GAUGAACGCUAGCGGGAGGCUUAAUACAUGCAAGUCGUACGGCAGCAUGGGACUUCGGUUCUGAUGGCGAGUGGCGGACGGGUGAGUAACGCGUACACGAUCUACCCAUAAGUCUGGGAUAGUCACUGGAAACGGUGAAUAAUACCGGAUGUGGAUAUGGAUUUACAUGGAUUCAUAUUUAAAGGCUAGACUGCUUAUGGAUGAGUGUGCGUCCUAUUAGUUAGUUGGUGAGGUAACGGCUCACCAAGACGAUGAUAGGUAGGGGGCGUGAGAGCGUGGACCCCCACACGGGUACUGAGACACGGACCCGACUCCUACGGGAGGCAGCAGUAAGGAAUAUUGGACAAUGGGGCGAGAGCCUGAUCCAGCCAUCCCGCGUGCAGGAAGACGGCCCUAUGGG